rnacentral:rRNA from 1 species
AGAGUUGAUCCGUGGCUCAGAACGAACGCUGGCGGCAGGUCUAGGCAUGCAAGUCGAACGGAUGACAGAGAGCUUGCUCUCUGAAGUCAGUGGCGCACGAGUGAGUAACGCGUGGGAAACUGCCCUUCACUGGGGAAUAACGUUUGGAAACGAACGCUAAUACCGCAUACGCCCGCAAGGGGAAAGAUUUAUCGGUGAUGGAUGUGCCCGCGUUGGAUUAGCUAGUUGGUGGGGUAAUGGCCUACCAAGGCGAUGAUCCAUAGCUGGUCUGAGAGGACGAUCAGCCACGCUGGAACUGAGACACGGUCCAGACUCCUACGGGAGGCAGCAGCUAAGAAUAUUGGGCAAUGGAGGAAACUCUGACCCAGCCAAUGCCGCGUGAAUGAAGAAGGCCUUCGGGUUGUAAAGUUCUUUUAGUCAUGAAGAUGAUGACAGUAGUGACAGAAAAAGCACCGGCUAACUUCGUGCCAGCAGCUGC